rnacentral:rRNA from 1 species
AGUCGAGCGGUAGAGAGAGCUUGCUUCUCUUGAGAGCGGCGGACGGGCGUUUCAUGCCUAGGAAUCUGCCUAGUGGUGGGGGAUAACGUUCGGAAACGGACGCUAAUACCGCAUACGUCCUACGGGAGAAAGCGGGGGAUCUUCGGACCUCGCGCCAUUAGAUGAGCCUAGGUCGGAUUAGCUAGUUGGUGAGGUAACGGCUCACCAAGGCGACGAUCCGUAACUGGUCUGAGAGGAUGAUCCGUCACACUGGAACUGAGACACGGUCCAGACUCCUACGGGAGGCAGCAGUGGGGAAUAUUGGACAAUGGGCGAAAGCCUGAUCCAGCCAUGCCGCGUGUGUGAAGAAGGUCUUCGGAUUGUAAAGCACUUUAAGUUGGGAGGAAGGGCAGCACCCUAAUACGUUAUUGUUUUGACGUUACCGACAGAAUAAGCCCCGGCUAACUUCGUGCCCGCAGCCGCGGUAAUACGAAGGGGGCAAGCCGUUAAUCGGAAUUACUGGGCGAAAAGCGCCGCGUAGGUGGUUCAUUAAGCUGGAAGUGGAAUCCCUGGGCUCACCCUGGGAACUGCUUUCCAAAACUGCUGGAACUAAAUUACGGCUAAAAGGGGGUGGAAUUUCCCUGUGGUGCGGCGGAAAUGCCCCAAAUUUAGGAAGGAACCCCCGCGGGGGAAGGCCCACCCCCUGAAACUGGAUUCCUGACCCCUGGGUGGCAAAAGCGUGGGGAGCCCAACUGGAAUUACAUACCCUGGCAGGCCCCCCC